UUGGAGGGCAAGUCUGGUGCCAGCAGCCGCGGUAAUUCCAGCUCCAAUAGCGUAUAUUAAAGUUGUUGCAGUUAAAAAGCUCGUAGUUGAAUUUCGGGAUUAGUACGCUGGUCGUGCCUUCGGUACGUACUGGUGUUACUGAUUCCUACCUUCUGACGAACCAUCAUGUCAUUAAUUUGGUGUGGUGGGGAAUCAGGACUGUUACUUUGAAAAAAUUAGAGUGUUUAAAGCAGGCUCGCGCUUGAAUACAUUAGCAUGGAAUAAUGAAAUAGGACGUUGACCCUAUUUUGUUGGUUUCUAGGAUUGACGUAAUGAUUAAUAGGGAUAGUUGGGGGCAUUAGUAUUCAAUUGUCAGAGGUGAAAUUCUUGGAUUUAUUGAAGACUAACUACUGCGAAAGCAUUUGCCAAGGAUGUUUUCAUUAAUCAAGAACGAAAGUUAGGGGGUCGAAGACGAUCAGAUACCGUCGUAGUCUUAACCAUAAACUAUGCCGACUAGGGAUCGGAUGAUGUUAUUUUUAAUGACUCAUUCGGCGCCUUACGGGAAAC
rnacentral:rRNA from 1 species